rnacentral:rRNA from 1 species
AUUGAACGCUGGCGGCAUGCCUUACACAUGCAAGUCGAACGGCAGCGGACCUUCGGGUGCCGGCGAGUGGCGAACGGGUGAGUAAUAUAUCGGAACGUACCUUUCAGUGGGGGAUAACGUAGCGAAAGUUACGCUAAUACCGCAUAUUCUGUGAGCAGGAAAGCAGGGGAUCGCAAGACCUUGCGCUGAUUGAGCGGCCGAUAUCAGAUUAGCUAGUUGGUGAGGUAAAGGCUCACCAAGGCGACGAUCUGUAGCGGGUCGUGAGAGGAUGAUCCGCCACACUGGAACUGAGACACGGUCCAGACUCCUACGGGAGGCAGCAGUGGGGAAUUUUGGACAAUGGGCGGCAAGCCUGAUCCAGCCAUGCCGCGUGAGUGAAGAAGGCC